rnacentral:rRNA from 1 species
AGUGAACGCUGGCGGUAGGCCUAACACAUGCAAGUCGAACGGCAGCACAUUAAGAGCUUGCUCUUACGGGUGGCGAGUGGCGGACGGGUGAGGAAUACAUCGGAAUCUGCUUUUUCGUGGGGGAUAACGUAGGGAAACUUACGCUAAUACCGCAUACGACCUACGGGUGAAAGCAGGGGAUCUUCGGACCUUGCGCGAUUGAAUGAGCCGAUGUCGGAUUAGCUAGUUGGCGGGGUAAAGGCCCACCAAGGCGACGAUCCGUAGCUGGUCUGAGAGGAUGAUCAGCCACACUGGAACUGAGACACGGUCCAGACGCCUACGGGAGGCAGCAGUGGGGAAUAUUGGACAAUGGGCGCAAGACUGAUCCAGCCAUACCGCGUGGGUGAAGAAGGAAUUCGGGUUGUAAAGCCCUUUUGUUGGGAAAGAAAAGCAGCAGGUUAAGACCACGCUGUUCUGACGGUACCCAAAGAAUAAGCACCGGCUAACUUCGUG